CUGCUCCCCAUCCCGAGGGACGCCAUGGGAGUCCUAAUAGAGAGAGGAGGAAAACCUUGUCAAAUCCAUUAUGCAGCAGCAAUAAUGCCUGCUCCCUCCAGACAGCACUCCACAGUUUACACAGCCCUGUCCUGUCCACAGUGCCACCUAAUGCUCCUGCCCCUUUUACAAGUGAGGAAACAGGCUUCAAAAUGUUAAUGCCUGACCCAAGUUUCAUCAAUUUAAAUUCAGGUCUCCAGGCUCCCAGGAAAUCCUCUCUAGGGAGCGCUUCCUAGUUUGGGGGAAUUCCAGGAUGAGCAAGACAGGGUCCCUUGUUUAUAGGAAGAUUACUAAUUCAGAGGAGGCACCCAGGGUUGCAAAAGACAGGAGACUGGUGGGAAGGCUCCUGGUCCCCACCCCACCCCCAGGGCAAGCAAGUGCCUUCACAGACCUCUUCAGCACCUUCC
rnacentral:lncRNA from 10 species